AUUCAGGAAUUGCAGAAAUAUCUAAUAAUUGAACAAAAAAGUUUAUUGUCUCAAAUCAAAGACAAAAAAUGAUUUAAAUAAAACUUCAAGAAUAAUAUAAAAACAAAGACAAGAAGAAAAGAGGUGACUCAUGUUUUGACAGGCAUUGGUAGACAGAUUUUGUUGCUACUAUCCCAGCUUCUAUAGAGAGCAAAGACCACCAGACAUUAGAAGCAUGAGAAGAACACAACCACAAUAAAUUAGAUGUAAACAUAGAAAACCUGAAAUUCUGGUAGAAGCCUUCUGAGUUUAUUCCUAAAUUCAUAUUGGAAACUCUUAGAUAUAUGAGUCAGAAGAAAGAGAAAACACUCAGAACUUUGAUCAUUGAAAGUGGAAAAGCUCCUAAAAUAAAUGAACCUUACCUUGACUUCCAUGUGAUGAGUGAUGAAAAAUAGAGAAAUGAUCCUAUACUUUGCUUUCUAUAGGUAUAUGGAUAUCUUUUUAAUUGGUAUCAAUGUGCAGCCAGCGUAUGUUUGAGAAACAAAGAAAAGUCGUUUCAGAUUGUACUUCUCUCAGGAGUAAAACUUGACAGUAUCUAUGGUAGAUAAUCUCAGACAAUGGGGUAUUUAGUAAUCUGCAUGCCCAAGAUAGGAGAAGUAAUUAUAGAUGGAAGAAAAGCAUCCAUGUCUGUGAAAAUUACCUUGGAUAUUAACAGAGAGCAAACAAACAAAAAAGGAUGCAUAAUGAGAAACUAGAAGUAGAUUCUAGCAAAUGUGCAUUUCCUGAUGUAGCUAAUUUAAUUCAAAAGGAAAAAUACACACCCAGAAGAGUUGGAUCUAAGUCAAACUUAUACCAAGUUAGGAAGUUACACACUUUGCAGAUAAUGUGUGAAGGACUCCAUUGAUU
rnacentral:lncRNA from 10 species